UUUAAGUAAGUGGGUCAGAGGGACCGAGAGGAGAUGAGGCGAUCAAUCUUAGCCCCCUGACAGCUCCCUCCGAUGGCAUCAAAGAAUUUGUUUCUUUGGGAAAGCAGAGGGAACAGCCGAAAUUCCCCAUCCCUUUAAAAGGCCUGGAGGUGGGGGGUGUUAGCGAAAGAGAAAGGUGAUUCUGGGAGAGCAGGGAAACAGAUGGGAAAUGGGGACAGAGGAAAGGCGCUGGGUUGGGUGGAAAGUUUUUCUGGAGAACUCCCACGACUCCGGCCUCCCCUCCCCCUCCUUGCUUGCUGCCGCGGAGCAAGGAGGAGAAGGCUGGUUAGCAGAGAAAUGGCAACUACUCGGCCGGGAGCUGGAACUAGAAACUUUCUGUCAGUGUAACAGCCGCGUGGGUGGUGGAGAAUUGCCAGGAAAGAAAAAUCAAGAUUUGGGGGAAUUAACCACAUGGAAGACCUCCCGACUGCACCCAACUCCACAGCCCCCGCCCCCCCUGGGUCUUCUCCACCCCAAGACCUGCCCCUCAGCCGUCCCUCUCCCAUCACAGGUCCCUUUCAUCCAAGCAGAGUCUAACCUGGAGAAAAAAACUGAGGCUGAGGAUCGCUGGAAGAGGCAGCAGGAAGAAGCAAGUUGAGCAGGGAACCUUCUGGUGUGAGGGAGCCUCUCCUUACCCUCCCAUCUCAAGAAGCAGCACCCUGACCCAAAACUUCCUGAAGAUUUUUAACCUCCAGAGCCAGUGGAACUGAGCCGCCUCCAUGGCCUUUGCUGCAGGUACCGUCACCUCCAGUCUGAGUGUUUGCUAACCAAGUCUGGGAUCCCACAGCCAGCGGCCCCCAUGGGGCCCCCAAAUGGAACAGGAUUGUUUCUUUGGUGGGACUGGUUGGUGCUGUGACCAUUUGGCUAGGUCUUCCCCCACUCUGUUUUUUUUCAUCAGGCAUAAUUUUUUUUACCCACCCUUUCCUUGACAGUCUGCUUCCUUUGAUUUUUCCAAAAGAAGAAAAGAAGAAAGAAACUGGGUAACUGCUGGACUUUUCUACAAAGAGAUGGGAAAGUGCUUUCUAAAACAGAAAUUUUUUUCCCCUAAGAAAAAAGAAAGUAAACAAAGCAAUCUAAGCAAUAUUAUCUGGGCUGGAAACUGGGUGCCCCUGUUUACUGAAGUUCUUUGAGGCCAAAAAAAAAAAAAAAAUCAUUAGUUUAAUGCAGGCUUUUAAAAGUGUGCUGGAAAAAUAAAGGUUCAAGCUGUCA